UACGUAGGUGACCAGCGUUGUCCGGAUUUACUGGGCGUAAAGAGCGUGUAGGCGGCCAUGUAGGUCCGGUGUGAAAACUCGAGGCUUAACCUCGAGAUGUCAUCGGAAACCAUUUGGCUAGAGUCCGGAAGAGGAGAGUGGAAUUCCUGGUGUAGCGGUGAAAUGCGUAGAGAUGUGGAGGAAUACCGAUGGCGAAGGCAGCCCCCUGGGAUAACACUGACGCUCAUGCACGAAAGCGUGGGGAGCAAACAGG
rnacentral:rRNA from 1 species